CCACUCUGUAAGUUUGAGUCACCUCCUGUGGGGAUGCUGUGAAGAGGUUUUAAGCAUGGGAAGGGUGGCUGGACAAAAUGGCCAAUAAGGUUUCCUCCAAACACUAAAUCUGUGACUUUUUUUCUCACCAGGAACUUGGUGACAGAAAAAUGUCACCUGCAACAUGCCUUUAAGACUGACGAGGAAAAGCGUCAAAUCAAAAACUGCCCAGAGGAUCCCUGGUUUAUCCCCAAUCCAUUCUUAAAGAGCUUUCAACUUUGGCUGAAAUAAUCUGAAAGAAAUAAAAUGAGAUAAAAUAAAGGGAGUGGAUGCCACUUGUUUAUUUCCUCUGGUCACACAUCCUGAUUUUUCUAUUUGUAUUGGCAGAGCUGGUGGUCUGGUCUGUAGUAGCG
rnacentral:lncRNA from 1 species